AUAUAAAGCUUGGUAUCCUGUUUUGUAACAAUCAUAAGCUAGAACAAUGAGUUCCGCGACGUGGGUCGUCUCUUUCGUCGUACUUGUUAUUCUUAAUAUUACAGAAGCUCGUGUGUGCAGUUAUGGUGGCGGCUAUUCAGAUGGAUCGGCGGCAGUAUAUGUACCUGUGCCCAGCCUGCUGCCUCCUGUCCCCUUUGUACCACCAAUGCCAUACGUGUCGAGGAAAGACAACGAUCUGAAGGACAUUCUGCCGUGGCUGAUCCUCUUGCUGGGAUGAUAAAGGAUCGCUUUUCAAAACCUUUCGAAUAACGGUUAAUUUAUGGUUCUUUAAAUAAUCAAGGAAGUCAGUAUGCCAUAUGCCGUGUAGCAAUAUCUGUUAAUAUUAAUUAUAUUUAAUUCACUUUAAUUUUUGUGAGAUAAGUGUGAUCAGUUUUUAAGUUGAAGAUUUAUUUUAAUAACUUGCCCUUUCUGAUUAUGUGUGUUUCUCUAUGGUGUCAUAGCGAAGUGAAAUUAAAUAAUAAUCUGAUUUGUUUAAAUUAAUCUAUUUAAGUAUUAUGAAUUUCUUGCUGUUUGUAAUUUAUUAUUUUAUUUACCAUGAACGUUAUAAACUCAGGUCCGGCAACAUCUUUUGGAAGAUCAGCGUGCGAAAAAAAAUUACAAAUCAAUCUCCGUCUACACCAAGAUGUUUGCAGAUAAAACGGUAUUAAUAUUCGUAUAGAUUGGGAACAUAGUAUUACGGAUCAACGCGGACACUUUUCAACGCUUUUUAAAUACUGUGUUUUUUAAAUUUACUUUAGAGAUUUGUAUUAAUCUACGACAUAUCAGACAUAUCCUAGUUUAAUUUAACUUUAGUAAUAAAAUGUAUUUGUUGCCCUUG